AACGAACGCUGGCGGCAGGCCUAACACAUGCAAGUCGAGCGCCCUCUUCGGAGGGAGCGGCGGACGGGUUAGUAACGCGUGGGAACGUGCCCUUUGCUACGGAACAACAGUUGGAAACGACUGCUAAUACCGUAUGUGCCCUACGGGGGAAAGAUUUAUCGGCAAGGGAUCGGCCCGCGUUGGAUUAGGUAGUUGGUGGGGUAACGGCCUACCAAGCCUACGAUCCAUAGCUGGUUUGAGAGGAUGAUCAGCAACACUGGGACUGAGACACGGCCCAGACUCCUACGGGAGGCAGCAGUGGGGAAUCUUGGACAAUGGGGGCAACCCUGAUCCAGCCAUGCCGCGUGAGCGAUGAAGGCCUUAGGGUUGU
rnacentral:rRNA from 1 species